CCAUAUUUCGCCUUUGUGCCUCCUUUGGGGCAUCGGGUGAACAUUGUAGCGGUACCUGUGUUCCAAACAUGCUGUUUCGGCUGUUGUGGCCCAUGGACUGUCGCUCGUGCUAUCUGUCACGGGCUUGAUGUUUGCUACCAACGAACCGUGCGGCACUAGCUACUUUCUCGCGGAAACAAGUCAGCUAGUCAGCCUACUCCUCCUUAUGCUAGGCAAAAUGCUAGCGAGAAUGGCAAGAAGAACAAAAGGAAGCUUAAGAAAGCUUAGAGAGAGAAUUUCUAGAGAGAGAAACUACUUGCUCUUCUAUUAAGCUUGAAUAGCUUGAUUACAACUUGAUGCUUGAUACUUACAAAUGAAAUCUCUAAGCUAUAUAUAGGCCUCCACCUCCUCCAUGGACGGUGAGGAUACAUUUCAUCUAAUGGCUAAG
rnacentral:lncRNA from 1 species